rnacentral:rRNA from 1 species
GAUGAACGCUAGCGGCAGGCCUAAUACAUGCAAGUCGAGGGGUAGUGGUUGCUUGCAGCCAUGAGACCGGCGCACGGGUGCGUAACGCGUAUGCAACCUACCUUCAUCUGGGGGAUAGCCCGGAGAAAUCCGGAUUAAUACCGCAUAAAAUCACAGUCCGGCAUCGUACAAUGAUCAAACAUUUAUGGGAUGAAGAUGGGCAUGCGUGUCAUUAGUUAGUUGGCGGGGUAACGGCCCACCAAGACCGCGAUGACUAGGGGAUCUGAGAGGAUGACCCCCCACACUGGUACUGAGACACGGACCAGACUCCUACGGGAGGCAGCAGUAAGGAAUAUUGGUCAAUGGGCGCAAGCCUGAACCAGCCAUGCCGCGUGCAGGAAGACGGCCCUCUGGGUUGUAAACUGCUUUUAUUCGGGAAUAAACCUGCUUACGUGUAAGUAGCUGAAUGUACCGAAGGAAUAAGGAUCGGCUAACUCCGUGCCAGCCGCCGCUGUAAGAC